GGGUUUAGGUUUUAGGGUUUAGGGUUUAGGAUUUAAGGUUUAUGGUUUAGAGUUUAGGGUUUAUGGGAUUCAAGUAAGUCUGUUUAUAUUAUAUUCUGUUUUAUUUUGUUGGGUUUAUAUCAGUUUAAGGUUCAUGAGACAAAUUAUAAAUAGAGAGUCAGGGUCACAAGCCAGGUAUCUUCCAAUCACACUUCAUUCACAUUCUACUCAUAUUCAACUCAUAUUCUCAAAUACUCAAAUAGUGAAAACGCUUCACUAAAUAUUCAAUCAAGAGUUGAGGCUCUUCAGUACACGCUUGACUUGGACGUCGGAGUACCUUUUGCAGGUACCUCCCCCUCUCCAUCAGGAAGUCGGACGAGCGGUCAAAGCUUGAAGAUCAACGAAUGGCCAAGAUUGCAGGCGAUUGACCGGCAAGGAGUAAAGAAGAAAAGAGGAGAACCCAGUUCAAGUAUCGGAAAGCGGCAAAGCCACAUCAGAAAAGGUUAGUGUCU
rnacentral:lncRNA from 1 species